UCUCUGGUAGUAUAUCGGAUAGUACACCCGCCUGUCAAGUGCACCUAACCGCGGGAGAGCGGGGUUCGACUCCCCGCCAGAGAG